GCAGCCCCUGUCACUCUGCCGCGCGGCUGUGUUUGUCCUGGGUUGUGAGACUCCACUGUGCGCAUGCGCCUCGUCCGUCCAAGGGAACCGCAGCCUCACGCACCCGCCCUUUGCCUGCAGGCACAGUGUCCCCUGAAAGGACCCAAGAGAUACAGUUCCGAAAGUGUGAUGUGCUGCUCAGAAGGUCAGACUCCAUAGCUGUCUCGGCCUCCAGGUCGGAAGGUUCCCACAGCCCUGGGGCUGGAACAUGUGACCUCCUCUCCCAUCUCUCCCUGGUUCGGAAAAUUGCACUAAAGCAGGACCUUUGCUUUGGAAGGUCCAGGUUGGAAGGAAGCCACGGUGACCUCUAGCUGACCCGGAGUUGACCUGGGUCUAUAGCAGGUUGGGAACUUAACAAAUGAGGCCACCCUCUCCGAUUUUAAUCUAAUCUCUGUCCAUGGCCUUCUCGGGUCAGAACAGUGCGUGGGUUAAGAGCACUUGCAGCCUGGAAAAUCCCCCUGCCCAACCAAGCAGGCACCGGGGAGAAAAAUGAGGAAAGGAAUGCUGACUCCUUUUCUCUUAUCCUCACACUCGCCCCCCGCCCGAGUCCUAGGGCCUCCUCAGAAGCGGCAAAUCAAACAAGAUGCCAGACAGCCAGGCCCUGGGGAAAAGGCAAACAUCCCCAAAAAGCUGAUGGCAACCGGGAAGGUCUUUUUGUGACAGGUGACUUAACUCUCUUUUUCUUGGUGACUUGCAGUCUUGGAUGCCGGAGGAGAAAUCUUAAUUUUGUCCAGAGUCUUAGACCACAUGUUUGCGUGAGUGAUUCCCCCAGUGUACCUCUGAGUCGAGAAUACCCCUGGGGCAGGUCGGGUUUGCCUUCAGAGAGGGUGGCUCUGGUACGUUGGGGGUGAGCAUCUCAUCUGAGCCAUUCAAUGAGGUUCCCAGACUCCCUGUGGCCAGACAUUCCCUGGAACUCAGUCUGUGACUCCAGGAGGUCCGGAGAUGCUGAGGGGGGCCCAGACUUGCUGUGUAGACUAGACUUCAACCCAAGUCCCAGGGGCAGCCCCCUCCUCUUUUCAGCACUCCUGUGCUUUCAGAGCUGGGUCUCUAGCAGCUGCCCUCCACGACCCCUCACUCGAUAAACCCUGAAGAGGUGGCUGCUGGGUGAGGGCCCGUCACCACCUCUGUGGGUCCCUGGCCCCGCUUCCUCAGGCAGGCCAUGCUUCCUUUUCUGCCUGCGGCUGGGCCCUCCCAGGCCCUUCAGUGCCAGUGUGGCCCCCUCUCAGUAGCCCUGCCAGGGAGAAGGCAGUGGUGUGUCCAGCUGUCACACACACACACUCCACCCCCGCCGCAUUCUGACCAACUAGCAUUGCCAGAGUGUGGUGGGAGGGGGGGUGAGGAAGCAGGUGGGCACCUUGACCGCCCCAGCCUCUCAGGAGAGAGUAAGGCUCCAAAGGUGAGGCUCCACCCUCAAGUUCAGGGUUAUCAACCUGUCUCAGUGAGGUGACCAGCUUACUUGAGAGGACUGUUGUAAACAAGUUUUCAGUAAGAAUAAAGUACCCGAUUUUGUAAAGAUUCAGUGACUUAGAGUCAAACCCUUGUGUUCAGACAUGCUUUCUUUUUCGAGAGUGACAAGUGGGUCGCCGCGGGUGCCCUGGGAGUGGCCUAUAAUCCAGGGCGUGUCCGUGGCCAUGGAUGUGCAGGAGGGCACCAUCUGUCCUGAGUCGUGGCAGGAAAAAGCUGAUGAACUCCUGCUCUAAAUUAGGCCUGGCCCUGCUCUCUCUCAGCUCCUCCCGUGUCUAAAUCUGUCUUCCCAAAGCUGGGCUAGACGUAAACCAUGUUUGCCUCUGUUGGAAUGACGGGUCGGUCUUUCAGAGGAGAGAGGCCAAGGGCAGAAUGUUAGCAGGCGGGAUUCCCCAGGCAGGGGGGGUAGAGGGCAUCCCCGGAGUGCGCCCAGAAUGGAGCUCGCCCCCCCCAUCUCUGCUCUCGUUCCCCCUCCGUCAGCCCCCACCCCACCUGAAGCAGCUACGCCCCGGAGGUGGGGUUUCUGUUUUGUUUGUUUUUAUUUUUGUUUUGUGUAGUAGCAUCAGGCUCUGAAAGGGCAUUGAUAGCAAUUUUGUUUUGAAAGCACCUUUCUGGUGGCAAGCCAGAACUCCAUGGUUUCUUGGCCCUGGAAAGGCAGGAGGAGGGCAGAAAUGGCUUAACUAUUUGCAUGUGGUUUUGUUUGUUUUUGUUUCAAAGACCAAAACUUUCUGUGGCUUCAGGAAUCAGCUGGAGCCUUUGGCCUGGCCCUGCUAAUUAUCCAGGUGGGGCCCAGGAAAAGCAUUCGGCCAAUGAAUUGAGGACAUAAUACAUGUGAAUUUGGAAGGAGAGACCUUGACAUUUUUGCGUCCUUGGAAAUCCAGUGACCUUCCUAUGCCUAGAGUCCCUUCCUGUCUCAGAGGCCAGGCUCUGUUACUGAGGUCCUGACUGCCCCCCCCACCCCACCCCCCGCCACGCAGGACAAAGUCUGCUGAGAGCUGGAGGGAGGGGGUGGGGUGAGGAAUGGGGCAGAAGCACUUGAUGUAGUUGUGUGGAAUAAACAGUAUUUUUUUUUU
ensembl:lncRNA